UCUGAGACUGACAGAGAAGAAAUAGAAAUAAGCCAGUUUAGGAGGCUGGACAGUCUUCCUGGAACAAGGGAGACAGGGACUGGAGUUGAGCAGAAUCGUAAUGGGAGAGGAAAAUACUGGCUGAGGUGGCCCUGGCCCUCAGAGGGCCACGGAGGCCAAGGGUGCCUCCUGCAGGAGAACGGGACCGAAGUCCUGCUGCUGUGGGUGGGGCCCUCCUGGCCUGGGAGGCUUCUGGCUCUCAGGGAAAGCGAGCUGCCCCUUCCCACACGGCCUCAGCGCCCCGCAGGCCACUGCUCAGCCAGGCCCAGAUGUGGGGCCUCUCUCCCGGGACUCAGAAUAACCACAACCAGGCCGAGGGCUAAAUCCGGGGACCCAGUCCCAAGCGCAUAGCCUCUGGGGAAUUUCCCCGACCUCGGGCUGGAUCUGGGCCCGUCAUAAACAGCCCCCGCUAUUGGCUAAUAGAUGUCUGAUUUUACUACUGAAAAGACCGGGAGAGAAGGAUAUUCUGUCGUCUGGGAGACAAGAAUAGAGAAAGGGGGUGUGGGGAGGCGGAGGCGAGAUACAGACGGGACAGAGAGAGGAAGCUCUGGUCAAAGGGACAGAGUCAAGCCCGAUUAGAGGGGCACAGCCUGAGGCCAGAUAGGCAGGCCAGAACCAGCGACAGCGACAGGAGAAAGACCAGACGCAGGCUGAGUCAGCCUGGACCAACGAAGCAUCAGGUAGCCUGACCGAGACAAAGGAGGAGCCGGAAGGCGUCCGAGGUCGAGCCAAAGAACCGCGGUCGAGCACCGAGGGGUGAAUGCCAAUCAGGAGACCAAGCAGGUGACGCAAAGGGCCCGCCUCCACGCCUCAGCCACGCCCACACCCGCGACUCCUCCCCUCCGCGCCUCAGCCACGACCACACCCAGGACUCCUCCUCUCCGCGCCUCAGCGUCGCUCGCACACCCAGUUUCCCGAGGGAGCCCCUCCCUUCGCGUCCCCUCAAUUACCCGCCCAGGUGAGGCCCCGCCCCUUUUCCCGACGAGCCGCGGGAGCCAGGUGACCGCGAUCCUGCUGGGCCUCCCAGCUGAUGAAGACAAGCCACAGCAGAUACCAGCUGACUAAGAACAACUUACAGAAGAAACAUUUAACCUGAAGUCUUAUCCAUUUCCCUGUCAUCCCAAAGUUUCACUCCUAAUCACAUUUCCCCACUGCAUUGCUGACCCCUCAGUCAACAGGAGUCAGCUGGAACCACAAACCACAACUGGCCUGUUUAAUUCAGCGUAGAGCAAGGUUUGAGGCCAAGAGUGAAAAACCGACUUCCAAAACCAACUGAUAGCACAGGUUGUUGAAGACCGACACAUUUAGAGAGAGUUUUCCUUGCUCAGACUUCAGGUGUGUAGAGUGAGUUUGCUGAGAUCCAUGAAUACCUUAAGGGAUCCCUACAGAUAGGAAGAGAUCCUGAGAGAAUUAGGGCAACAGCUGAAACCUUACUCAAGGGAUUCACAGGACUGCAGACCUGCGAGCCUGUCAAGUCAGUGAUUUGGGAGAAAGGCCAACACAAUUGUGCGAGUCCUAUCGCCCAAAUCAGCACUAGUCUUUACUUACUCAGGUGAAAUGAUUUUUCAGGUUUAUUAAGUGUAACGUGUAGGAAAGAACUUUUAAUCCUCAAAACCCAGCUUUACUGCAAAAGGCCUAAAUUAUUAAAUAUUCAGCAAAACACCCAUCCUGCAAGCAGCAGUUUGAGGGGCAAGAAACCUAAUAAAACUUCAUGAAUUUUCUGAGCUAUGUCAGAGUUGACACUUGGAUUCCAGUCCUUGGUUUGCCUGGAACAAAAACCAGGCCUUGAGCAAGUCAAAACACUGGGACUGGGAAGGAUAUAACCUUCCAAUCUGACAGUGAAUAUAAUGUGUUCCUUAAGUCUAAGGAAGGCUUUUUAAAGGUUUGAUGUUUCAUUACCA